UGAGACCAAAUAGCAGAUCUGCACAUGACCUUACACCCACAGAAGUAAUGAGAAUCAUGUUGUAUAUACAGCACAUGAGAAAACAUCAGGUGUUAAGAGCUCUGGGAGUUGUCAGAGGAAGCUGAAUCUCCCCUGCUUUA